rnacentral:pre_miRNA from 1 species
UCUCAUGGAUGAGCAAAGAAAGCGGUUUCUUGAGAUGGAAUUUACUCCUGCUGAAGAUGCUGUGAA